CCUACGGGAGGCAGCAGUAGGGAAUUUUCGGCAAUGGGGGGAACCCUGACCGAGCAACGCCGCGUGAACGAAGAAGUUAUUCGUAAUGUAAAGUUCUUUUAACAGGGAAGAAAGAGAAAUUUGACGGUACCUGAAGAAUAAGCUCCGGCUAACUACGUGCCAGCAGCCGCGGUAAUACGUAGGGAGCGAGCGUUAUCCGGAAUUAUUGGGCGAAAAGGGUGCGUAGAUGGCAUAGUAAGUAUUUUGUAAAAAUGCUGGGCUCAACCCAGUAGGGCAAAAGAUACUGAAAAGCUAGAGUAUGACAGAGGCAAGUGGAACUACAUGUGUAGCGGUAAAAUGCGUAAAUAUAUGUAAGAACACCAGUGGCGAAGGCGGCUUGCUGGGUCGAUACUGACAUUGAGGCACGAAAGCGUGGAGAGCAAACAGGAUUAGAUACCCCGGUAGUC
rnacentral:rRNA from 1 species